CUACAAAUGAAUUGAGGGACCCGCACAAGCAGCGGAGCGUGUGGUUUAAUUCGAUGCUACACGAAGAACCUUACCAGGGUUUGACAUGCAAGUGGUAGGAAUCUGAAAGGGACCGACCUUCGGGGAGCUUGCACAGGUGCUGCAUGGCUGUCGUCAGCUCGUGUCGUGAGAUGUUCGGUUAAGUCCGCUAACGAGCGCAACCCUCACUGUGUGUUAUAUGUGUCACACGGGACUGCCGGUUUUAAGCCGGAGGAAGGUGGGAUGACGUCAAGUCAGCAUGGCCUUUAUAUCCUGGGCUACACACACGCUACAAUGGUCGGUACAAUAGGUUGCCAAGCCGCGAGGCGGAGCCAAUCCACAAAGCCGGCCUCAGUUCAGAUUGUAGGCUGCAACUCGCCUGCAUGAAGAUGGAGUUGCUAGUAACCGCAGGUCAGCAAUACUGCGGUGAAUACGUUCCCGGGUCUU
rnacentral:rRNA from 1 species